rnacentral:misc_RNA from 1 species
AAAGUGGUGAGUGUUUUGGUGGUCCCAAUGAGCUGCUCAUUUAUAGAGCCUCUCCUCUAGGUAAUUACUGUUAUAGGACUGUAGUUGAUUGUCAAUGGGCUUAUUGUAGUGAUUCCACUAGUUUUUUGGAGGUCCCACUACUCUGCUCCUUUCUAGAGACUUUGCUCUAGCUACCGUAAUAUUUUAUGCUGUAGUAGAUAGGCAAUGAG